GGAGGCGGCGCACCAGCUUACGCAGCCCUCGCCUCAGACAGUGCGUCUGGCCGCCACCAAUAAGAAUGUAUCGUUCCUGAAGUCAUUUCCCAUCGAACACCGCUGGGCGCUCUGGUCCACCUUUAGCGUCGCCAACGAGAGUACCGGGUACCAGCUGCUGGUGGACGGGUACCAGGAAGAGAGUACCAUGGGGGACGUCCUUGUACGGCACCACAACCACAGUGGGAUGAAGUUCUCCACCCUGGACAGAGACAAUGAUAUCGGGCCAGGGUCCUGUGCUCAGGUCUACCGAGGAGGGUGGUGGUACAGGGGGUGCAGUUAUGUUCUUCCCACGACACCCCAUAGUCGCAUGAGGACAUGGUACUGGACGCCAGGUGACGGCAGCAGCGUGGUGAAUCUCCAGCAGCUACAGCUGAUGACACGACCCCAGAACUUCCCAACUUCUCACCAGUGACUGUUGUAUGGAGUGACCAGCCCCAGGGACCAGAGGUGACACGUGACCAGCCCCAGGGACCA